rnacentral:misc_RNA from 1 species
AAGUCGUAACAAGGUUUCCGUAGGUGAACCUGCGGAAGGAUCAUUAACAUUAUCCAAUGUAUCAACUUUCGUGAACCUAAUAAGCGGGUAACAAUCAGACCUUGUCUAGGAUGUGAUGGUCGGGGUCGCCAUGACUGGAGUGUCAUCCGUACCCGAAAGGGGGUUGUUCUCGUCAGAGAAUGGCUUGAUGAAUCUCUCGGCUCUCAUCCGUUCCUCAUCAUGGGAAAUGACUCUCUGUACCUAGCUUUUAACAUUUAGACCCAGUUGUGCACCCCUCAUACUUUUGUCGGCAAUUGACUAAUAUACUUUGCUUCUGGUUGUUGAUGGCAAACUCCUUCGGGGGCGCGUCUCCGAUCUUAAGCUUAAAACUUUGUACAACUCUUAACAACGGAUAUCUCGGCUCUC